rnacentral:misc_RNA from 1 species
UGGCUCUGGCAUNGAUGAAGAACGCAGCGAAAUGCGAUAAGUAAUGUGAAUUGCAGAACUCAGCGAAUCAUCGAAUCUUUGAACGCACAUUGCGCCCGCCAGUAUUCUGGCGGGCAUGCCUGUUCGAGCGUCAUUUCAACCCUCAAGCCCUGCUUGGUGUUGGGGCCCUACGGCAGACCGUAGGCCCCGAAAAUCAGUGGCGGACCCGCCGCGGCUCCGAGCGUAGUAGCUUAACCUCGCUCGUGGUCCCGCGUCGCGUGCCGGCCGUGAAACCCCCCAAUUUUCAAGGUUGACCUCGGAUCAGGUAGGAAUACCCGCUGA